rnacentral:rRNA from 1 species
AUUGAACGCUGGCGGCAUGCUUAACACACGCAAGUCGAACGGUAACAGGCCCUUCGGGGUGCUGACGAGUGGCGGACGGGUGAGUAAUGCUUAGGAAUCUGCCUAGUAGUGGGGGAUAACCCGGGGAACUCGGGCUAAUACCGCAUACGCCCUACGGGGGAAAGGCGGGGACGUUUCGGCCUCGCGCUAUUAGAUGAGCCUAAGUCCGAUUAGCUAGUUGGUAGGGUAAUGGCCUACCAAGGCGACGANCGGUAGCUGGUCUGAGAGGACGACCACGCCACA